rnacentral:rRNA from 1 species
CCUACGGGAGGCAGCAGUGGGGAAUUUUGGACAAUGGGCGAAAGCCUGAUCCAGCCAUGCCGCGUGCAGGAUGAAGGCCUUCGGGUUGUAAACUGCUUUUGUACGGAACGAAAAGGUCUUUUCUAAUAAAGAAGGCUCAUGACGGUACCGUAAGAAUAAGCACCGGCUAACUACGUGCCAGCAGCCGCGGUAAUACGUAGGGUGCGAGCGUUAAUCGGAAUUACUGGGCGUAAAGCGUGCGCAGGCGGUUAUAUAAGACAGUUGUGAAAUCCCCGGGCUCAACCUGGGAACUGCAUCUGUGACUGUAUAGCUAGAGUACGGUAGAGGGGGAUGGAAUUCCGCGUGUAGCAGUGAAAUGCGUAGAUAUGCGGAGGAACACCGAUGGCGAAGGCAAUCCCCUGGACCUGUACUGACGCUCAUGCACGAAAGCGUGGGGAGCAAACAGGAUUAGAUACCCUGGUAGUCCACGCCCUAAACGAUGUCAACUGGUUGUUGGGUCUUCACUGACUCAGUAACGAAGCUAACGCGUGAAGUUGACCGCCUGGGGGAGGUACGGCCGCGAGUAGUAACGUACGAAGAAGUAGACGGCGUGAGACGNGCCGACGGACGACGACGAGGGAGGAGG